UCCGGCUCGAAGGACUUCGUGCAUUCUUUU
rnacentral:piRNA from 1 species